rnacentral:rRNA from 1 species
ACGGAAGGCAGCAGUGGGGAAUAUUGGGCAAUGGGGGAAACCCUGACCCAGCAACGCCGCGUGAGGGAAGAAGGCCUUCGGGUUGUAAACCUCUGUCCUCAGGGAAGAGCAGAAGACGGUACCUGAGGAGGAAGCCCCGGCUAACUACGUGCCAGCAGCCGCGGUAAUACGUAGGGGGCAAGCGUUGUCCGGAAUGAUUGGGCGUAAAGGGCGCGUAGGCGGCCCGGUAAGUCUGAAGUGAAAGUCCUGGCUUCAAGUUGGGAAUUGCUUUGGAUACUGUCGGGCUUGAGUGCAGGAGAGGUUAGUGGAAUUCCCAGUGUAGCGGUGAAAUGCGUAGAGAUUGGGAGGAACACCAGUGGCGAAGGCGACUAACUGGACUGUAACUGACGCUGAGGCGCGAAAGUGUGGGGAGCAAACAGGAUUAGAUACCCUGGUA